rnacentral:rRNA from 1 species
AUGAACUUCCUGAGAAACUCGCGCUCCGUCUUCUCCAGGCUCAAGACCGUCCGGCGCUACUCAAACCCGGCGCAGCCUCAGCCGGCGCGUCCCAGGGUCCUAGACUCGGUCCGAGGGCUCUUCUCCGGCCACGCCAAGCCUGUCGCCGCCUCUCAAACCGCCGCGCAGGCACAGCCCCAAGAAGCAGGGCUCUUCUUCCCGUGGGGCUUGAUCUUCUUUUUCCUCACCUGCGACCGUGAGAAGGUGCCGUGCACCAACCGCGCCCACUGGGUCUUCCUCUCGCCGUCGUGUCACGCCUUAAUGGGGAACAUCAUGUUCGAGAAGAUCGAGGAGAAACGCGGGCCGGCCAUCCUUGGCCCGUCUGACCCCAACACCGUCCGUGUCCGGCAAAUCGCCUCCGGUAUUAUCCGCGCAGCCCAUGACCUCUUCCCCCGCGGCAACGAUGACCACGAUGAUAAGCAGGAGACGCCGGAGCGCCAUGACUUCAAGUGGGAGGUGGUCAUCGUCGAUGAUGACAAAGCUAAGGCGUACAGCUUGCCCAAUGGUAAGAUUGUAGUCUACACGGGAUUGAUGAACUGCCUAAAGACCGAUGCUGAAAUUGCCGCCCUUAUUGCACAUGAGGCCGGACACGUUGUUGCAAACCAUGACAUGGAGUUCUCAAGGAUCCUUCCGUUCUUUGACACACUAGCCUCGCAAAGGAAUGAGAUGGAGGCGGAUCUCAUCGGGCUGAAGCUACUUGCAGCCGCUGGUUUUGAUACACACGUUGCCCAUGGGGUCUAUGAGACGUUCGGGCAGAUCGGAGGAAACUGGUAUUUACGCCAAAAUGCGAGCACCAAUGUGAUGGAUGUCAUGGAGCCCCUUCCCCAGGAGACCGUCGGGUGCGAGCUGGACAUGGAGGUGCCGGCGGAGAUCGACGAGCACCAGCCGUAG